rnacentral:misc_RNA from 1 species
CGCCGACGGAGAUCGGUGACCUCUGUGAGGGGCUAUACGGAACCGGCGGCGGCGGCGGGUAUAUAGGGCAGGUAAUGAGGGAUGGAGAAGGAAGGACGUUUAAUGUGAAUGGGAGAAAUGGAAGGAAGUUCUUGUUGCAGUGGCUAUGGAGUCCGGUUCUGAAGGCCUGUGCCGGUCCCAAUGCUUUGGAUUGAAAGGUGAAAAGUUUAAAUUUCUGAUCAAUUUCGUUGUUAUUUUAAUGUAAUUUGAAGAACGGUCGCAGCGUCGAUGAGCUCAGCUCGAGCAACCGCCGUGGAGAUUGGUGGCUCCGCCGUGACGCGGAGGAGGGAUUUGCAGGGACGAGGAGG